UACAGAGGGUGCGAGCGUUAAUCGGAAUUACUGGGCGUAAAGGGCGCGUAGGCGGCCGAUCAAGUCAGAUGUGAAAGUCCUGGGCUUAACCUGGGGACUGCAUUUGAUACUGAUUGGCUUGAAUGCAGGAGAGGAUAGCGGAAUUCCCAGUGUAGAGGUGAAAUUCGUAGAUAUUGGGAAGAACACCGGUGGCGAAGGCGGCUAUCUGGACUGUGAUUGACGCUGAGGCGCGAAAGCGUGGGGAGCAAACAGG
rnacentral:rRNA from 1 species